AGAGUUUGAUCCUGGCUCAGGAUGAACGCUAGCGGCAGGCCUUAUACAUGCAAGUCGAGGGGCAGCAUAGAUUGCUUGCAAUCUGAUGGCGACCGGCGAACGGGUGCGUAACGCGUAUGCAACUUACCUUUUACUAGGAGAUAGCCAAGAGAAAUUUUGAUUAAUAUCCUAUACAAUUAUUUUUUCGCAUAAAUUAAUAAUAAAAGCUCAGGCGGUAAAAGAUGGGCAUGCGUCCUAUUAGCUAGUAGGUGAGGUAAAGGCUCACCUAAGCAACGAUAGGUAGGGGUCCUGAGAGGGAGAUCCCCCACACUGGUACUGAGACACGGACCAGACUUCUACGGAAGGCAGCAGUAAGGAAUAUUGGACAAUGGAGGCAACUCUGAUCCAGCCAUGCCGCGUGCAGGAAGACGGCCUUAUGGGUUGUAAAGCACUUUCAACGGUGAAGAUGAUGACGGUAGCCGUAGAAGAAGCCCCGGCUAACUUCGUGCCAGCAGCCGCGGU
rnacentral:rRNA from 1 species